UAUAUAUGAAGGUUGCGAUGCCUCAUGGACGGAAUGUGUUUAAUUUUGUGUCUUUUUACCCUCGGAGGAUCAUUUCAGAAAGGUCUAGCAGUUCUGAUCCAAACCCAGCAGACGGUGUUGGCAGCAGUAGGAGAAGAUGCUCCUCUCAGCUGUCAUCUGCUGCAAACUAAAGACGUCCAGCAGGUCACCUGGCAGAAGGUCUUGGAGAAAGCAGAGAAGAAUAUUGGUUCCUACAGCGAGUAUUUUGGUGAAACAGUGAAUGAUGGAUUUAAAGAUAAAGUUCAGUUUACAGAAGCUGGACUGCAGAAGAACUCGAUAGUUAUCAGGAAUGUUACGGAGCAGGAUGCAGGAUGUUACCUGUGUCGGUUCCUCACAGUCCAAGAUGGAGCUCUGACAGCUGCAACAUGUCUGAAGGUUUAUGAGCUGCAUGGACCCUUCAUUGAUGUCAGCAGAUCAGAAUCUCCUCCAGGGUCAGAGGUCACCUGUUCAGCCACAGGUCAACCUGUUCCCAUGGUAACACUGACUGUUCUCCAUCAGAACUUCAGUUUCUCUGACAGCAACACCUGCAGAGAGACCAACACUAACGGUACCGUCACCGUCACCACUACAGCUCUGCUCUCAGCUCUCAGCAACACACAGGUUGGAUGUUCAGUAUCACUGGACUCUGCUGCUGUCAGAGAUCUGCUGGUCAUCGUUCCUGGAUUCACUGAGACGUCUGAUGAUGGUCUGAAUAACCAAUCAUAUCUCAGAGGUUUCAGAUGGCCUCUGAUUGUUGUUGUUGUCCUGAUGAUCCUGAUCUGUAUUGGUGUUUAGUAUUCAGAAAAAUAUCUGAGAUCAGGUACUUUAAUUAAAAAGUGUUUUUGUUGUUGUUGAGUUUCACAUCAUUAAUGUCUCAGGUUUGAUUUGAUUUACUGACUAAAAUUAUUCCCAGGUAUAUGGAACUUUCAGAAAACGCCACAGCCAAUCAGAAUUCAGAUAAUUCAUCAGUGUCGAGCUCAGAGGACAAACCACAAACACCUGAGAGCCAGAGACAAAAAGCGAGUCCCGUUCAUCACCAUGAAGAUUUAUCUAAUUUUUUACAUUCGUUAAAUAAUGGUAUAUACUCUAUAUUUCCUAAGCAUUAUAAGGCAAUUUAAUUUCUUAUCAACAUGUUAAUUUUAUUUUUAAAAUCACAUCACAUCAAACUACGAACAUCUGAGAGGCAAAACAGUAACUCCCAACCAUCACUAUGACAACAGAAUGACCUCAUUUGGAUGUCUGAUUAAGAAGACUUUCAUCCAAAGAUGUAUGAAAAACAUUAUACGUAUUUCAUGCACAUAGUAUCAUUUCAAAGCUGAUCAACAAUCUUUAGUUUUUACAAAUGUAUUGUUCUUAUCAGAAAUGAUCUAUAACUUACUGGUUGCCACUGGAGACUCCAGAAUUUGUCAGACAUGCAUCAAUGUGUCAAUGCAAGGCUGCAGGUGUGAUUUUUAAAGAUGGAACCACAUUACAACAUGAUAUAGAGCUCAAAUUAGUAGAUUUUACAAUUUCUGAUCAAAUUGAAACGAAAUACUAAAAUGUCAAACUAGAUAUUGAUACUAAGAAAAUACUCAUCAUUAUUUUUGAUAAUGACACAACUCUUUUGAAGGUACAAAUAUCUUUUUACUUAAGAAAGACAAAUGAAAUGUAUUCAGCAGCAACUGUAUUAUUAUAUUGUAGCAUUAGCAUAUUAGCGCUUUAGUGUUCAGCAUCAGUUUUUCCCUUUCUCCUUUUAUCAAACAGCUGUUUUUUUUUUUACCUUGAGGGAAAACAGAGAUAUUUGUUUUGCGUUUAUAUCUCUUAGCAAAUUUUAAUUCUUGCAUUAACAAGAUGUUGAGUUUUUGUUGCUUCUGGAAGAAGAGCACGAAUGUGAGGAAAUAUUUAUUUGUCUGUCUAUCAAUUUUAUGUUUGAAUAAUUCCUUUUUCUAGUACUGAUUGUGUUUGGAUUUUGAUUAUUUUGUGGGUUGAUGUUUUCUCCCUCAAUGAGAAGGUUGUGGGUUUGAUUUCAGUUUCCUGCCUUCGCAUGUUGAUGAAAGUUUAAGGUGCUUCAAUCCAACUUGCCUUUUAAUCUGUGUUUGUGAAAGUGAGCAUUAGUGAGUGCCAUUGAGCAAGUUUACCAAUGUUUACCCAUAGGAGUAAUGGAGAAAGUUAGUUUUAACAAGCGAAAGGUCUCUGUGAAAAUUUGUGAGGAUAAAAAACAGAAAUGAAAAAAUUCACAUAACAGUAGAUGAAACAAAACAAAACUGAAGCCAAAGACAGUUUGUUAAUAUUCAGGGAAAAGAGGCAUUUUUAUUUAUUUUUUGUUUUUUAUGAUGGCAACAUAAAUGUGUUGCUAUUUGACUCUUACAAAAAAUACAGCUAAGAUAAUCACUUCUUUAUGUGAAGCCAGACAAUAGAUGUUAGAAUAUACUUGACAAAAAACAAUAAACAAUAAUCUGAAUCUAUGCGAUGUUAUGUAUAGAUUCUUCUGGAUUUAAAAUAUGCACACGUUCAUCUAUAUGUGGAGGUUCAAAUAUUAAUGUAGAAAACGCACUUUAAUUUCAGAAUGUUAUGAAGGAUGGAUGUUAUCUUUUACAAAUCUGAUAAACAUUUCCAGUAUUAUAAGCAGAAAUGAAGGAAAACAGCAAGUUACAGCUAAAGUAAUGAAUGUCAUUGUUAUUAUUUAUAUGGGGGAAGAACAUGAGUGAGACAAAAGAAGGAAAUAUGAUGGAUGACUUAAAAUAAUGAAGAUUCUAUGUACAAAUUAAAUAAUGUUUUUUUUGUUAUUAUCAUUAUAAAACAUUUUUUUGCAUACUGUCUUCAUUCAGUUACUCUAUGGAGAAAAAACUGACAAAUUUGAAUUUACUUUCAGUCUCUAAUUUACAUUUUUCAUCAGUUGAAACUACUGAUGUCCCCUGUCUGUAAGCUUCAGUGACUAUUACUCGUGAAG